AGGGGAGAGUAUGAAUACUCAGGAACAUCAUCUCCCUCUCCAGGAAGUAACUCAAGGGGAAAGCAGUAGAAACCCCAACUCAAGGUGACUUAAGCCAGAAGGAAAUUACUUUCUCAGAUAGCAAGUGGCCCAGAAUCUGGGUUGUUCUCCAGGAACAUCCAGGAGCUCAACUAUGUCACCAAGGAUGAGACUCUUUCCCACUGUGUUUUGUAGAGCAUCAGCCUCAAACCCAAGCUAAUUCCACGCAAAGCCAUAAGCACAGAGCCCAAGUAUUGGGAAACAAGGUGUGAUUUUUCCUAACUGAACUGAUCGUUUCCAGUGCCUGACCUGAGAAAUCUGCAUGUCUUACCUGGUGAUCUGGGAGAAUGGGAUCCUUUGUCUUCACACACACGAGUCACUCAACUUCCUGAAUGAAGUCAGGGAAAGAAGGAAGAAAAAUCCAGUGAGCUUCAGUUUCCUUAUUUGACAAAGAGAGAUAACACCAUCUAUAUCACAUAGGUGUAUAUCUCUGAAUGCGAGCACAGAAAAACAACAGCAACAGGACAAUUCGAUGUGCUGUCGACAGUGCAAUCUUUGGGACGAAGAUAAAAUGGAGAGAGGUGGAAUUGAAUAAUAGUUCAAUGAUCUGCUGCUCGGCCAGUAUUUUCCCGCCGGAGUUCAAGUUUCCUCUAAAUAGCUUCAUUCAGAUCAUUCACCCAGCAGUCCAGAGCCGGCCCCUGCUUCUCCAUCUCUGCCUGUCCCUGGGGCAGUUGUGCUCUCUGCACACGGCUGACACUCGGGAGUAGAGCUGGGCUCCACUUAACCAGUAGGCCACUUUUCUGCAACACCUGCCUGCUGCCUGUCUCCAGACUAGCUGAUGUCACUACUCUGUCUGCUGGUAAGAAGAACCCAAACCUCUGGGCCCACGCAGACUGACUGUGAGAAGCCCACUACUCACCCCGCUGCUCCUGCUCCACCUUCAUCUGUGCUCCUGGAACACGCACAUGCCCCUCUGCCUGGAGCACCCACAAGACCUCACGGAUUGCAGACUUCCGCUUCAUACCAUGUCGUAUCUCAUUGCCCCACGUCAAAUGGAGCCCAGAAGGCAGGGAAGUUUGUACAGUCCAUUCAAGGGUUCGAGCUGAAUGGAGAAUGGCAGAAAAUGAAACUUGGCAAAACAGAAGAAGAAUGGAGUCUGGAUGAAAGAAUCUCCAACGUGAAAUGAGCACUGCUUGAGCUGAGACAUAAAUGAACCAAUACCCGCUUUGCGAGUUUUCUCUUAAGGAUAACCAUCAUUAUUCAUUCCUCACACAACAAAAUUAUCAAUAAUAAUUCAUGAGACAAUUACAGUGGAAUCCCAAUACAGAGAGACAUCUGGAAGACCCAUUAGAGAGCCCCGUGUGAACAAAGGUUAAGAAACAGUACAAGGAGAAACAAGCAAGGACUCCGGAUUUCAUCACUGGAAGAAAUUGACAUGCUGAUUCCAAAAUUUAAACGAAUAGCCAAAACAACUUUGAUGAAGAGGAGCAACUUUGGAGGAUUUAUACUGUGUGAUUUCAAGACUUACUGGCCUUUUCUCCAUUUAAGUCAGUCCACCUUGAGCUCUUUGCCUCAGGACAAGAUAAACCUUUUGGAGUCUGAAAACAUCUGUCUUUAGUUCUCUGCAGCCGGGGGUGAUGAGAGAGGGAAGGACUCCUGGGUAGUAACAGAUGUGGACGAGAUGGAUGAAUCUGUGUUGACAAAGCUCCCCACCUGAGACAGGAGGAGAGGUCCCAGGAGGUGGAUGGCAAGCCUGAACGUGGACACGUGAGAUUUACGUACAGGAAUUAAAGCAUUAGCAGGGUCCUGAGCACAAGGAAAUGAAUGCAUUCCAACGUAUGACGGCAAGAAGCCCAGCACCACAAGGAGAGUGAUUCAGAUGCCGUGACCGAACUAGUAGAACCUGCUUUUAAUGGUCAGAAGAUGCUCAUUUCCUGAGGCUUGGGAUUGCUGAUUCUCCGGACACCCUUGGUGCCUGAAGAGGACAGAAUGCACAAUGACCCGAAAUCCACCAGGAAAUGGAUGACCAACGCUGGAGAUGAGGGAUUAUUUGAGGUGGAGGAGACAGAGGCGGAGAACAGUGAAAUGACUUGGUCAAAGUUUCUCCAAGAAUGAGCAGGAGAGCCACGCCCAGGUCUCAGCGGAAGUCCAACCUCAUGGUCACAUUCUUCUCCACUGCACAUCUCAGGCUUUGUAUUAUCUUUUAAUAGAGGAAACUGGGGCUCAGAUGAAGGACCCAGCUUAACCAAGGGCCCCCAGCCAGAAAGUAGCAAUGUGAGGACUGGGAACCAUUUAUUGCUGAAGGCAACAUGGAAACCACUUGAGAGCAUGGGCUUUGGAAUCAUUUGGAGUUGGAUAUGGACCUUCCUGGCUCUGUGACCUUAGGCAAUUGACCUGACACCUACAAAUGGGAACAACUGCAGUGGCGCCCUCAUCAGGCUAUUACGAGCCUCUGUGAGACCCUGACAUACACAGUGGGUUGAGCACGCUGCCUGACAAGCAGCAGCCCUUGCAAAUAUCUAUUGAGGACCUACUAUUCCAGUUGCUUUUAACCUUCUUAACGACCCACUGGGUAGGUCGUACUGUCCCACUUUUCAGAUGAGCAUAUUCUGGGUAGGUCACUCACCCCAAUUGCUAAGCUGUUAACUGAUGAAGGCAGGAUUCAAACUUAUGCAAUCCAGCUCCAGACGCCCAACCUUCUUCUUUGCCAAGCUGUUCUGUCUGCACCUGUGCUCAGUGUUGUAGUGAAACAGGCCUCAGGAAAGCACAGUAGGCAUUCUUCCCACCACAUAGCAGGGUGGUCCUUGGAAAUAAAUCUGUGGGGAUGACCAAGGAAAGAAGCCAUGGAAGGUGGGUCACUCUAUGCAGGGAGGCAGGAAGCAGCAUCCUCAGGGCAGAUGGAGGACUAAAAGCAUCCCAGAAGGCCAGUAAGAAGAGGCCUGGCCCCUCAUUCCACAAGUUGGCCAAACCUGCUCAGGGAAAAGUGAGUUGGGUGAGCAACAUGGCCAAAAGUCUGGCAAGGGGCCCCCUUUUGCAAAUCCCACAGAAGCAAGUUUUACUGGAUUUGGAAAGGCUAAGUCCAUCCUGGGCCUCAGCCCAGUGGCAGGCGGAGUUAGGAGGGGUCAGCCCUCUGCACCGUCAGUGUCAGCUGUGUGCUCUGAAGCUACAGGACCAGAAUCAUUUAGAGCAACUGAGCUUGACCACCGCAUCUGCGUUACUUACCUUCCAUCUGGUGGUGUUUCCCUUUUUUGAAGCUGGACUGUGUUAUGGCUGGCCUUCCAGUUUAUUCCAUUCCCGUUGCUGAGCUGCUCAGGCUCUUGCUCAGCAGUGUACUUUAGAGAACAAAGAGAGUCGAGAACUGUAGGAAGGUCUUCUCUUUAUCAGUUGAAACAUGCUUGCAUCACUUUCCCUAAAGUGGAAGAAAGGGGUACAGAUGUUAGAUUUGCACUUUCCUGACUUUUAUCUUUUCCCCCCUGGUUUCUUCACCAAGAAUCAUAGGGCGUGCAUGAGCAUAGCCUGAGUAGCCACUUGUCCAGGAUGCUCAGGUGGACAGGGACACUGGCGGUCACCUGAAUCACAUGGGACUUUGAGCCAGAUAAACCUCCAGGGCUGCUGCAAAUGAUGCAUCUGGAACACAUUAGAAAGGGGUCAGACUGGUUUGGAAAAUGUUUGGGUAACUCUGGACAUGGGAGGUGGAGCUGGAAACCUGUGGGAAAGAACAUGACCCCCAGACAGAGUUCACAGUUAUGGCUGGAGAGCUGCGUGCCCACUGGUCCUGGACAGGCCCUCUGGGCCUCCGCAGCUCAGGCCCUACCUAUCUGGCUCCACCUUCAUCCCUCAGAGACCCCCUUUCAGACUUGCUUUGGUAAGGAGACAUCCCUGUGUGCCUCUCCUUUCCCCAUUUUCCUUCUCCUGACCCAAACCACAAAUUCAACACAACCCAGGCCCUGCUCCAUGAAUAAUAAUGGUCAUGACGGUAAUCAGAACCCAUAAAUCAUUUCCCUUCUCUUGAGCUCGCAUGUCCCAGGUGAGCUUCACACACAUUCUCCCAUUUUAUCCUUUGAAUAAAUCCUCAAAUCAUAUGUAUUCCUGUUCCCACUUCACAGACAGGGAAACUGAGAGGCAGGAAGAUGACCCAACUCUCUCAGGGUUGUAAGGUUGAAACUCAAAUCCAGGGUUGUCUAGCACCAAAAUUUGUUUCACACCCUCACAGCACACGCAUAUCCCAGGUAAAAUGAAAGAAUCCGUCUGGAAGCUACUUCCUUUUCCCCCGAAUCAAGGAGAUGCAGCAGCUAAGAGAAGACGCUAGAAAGCAGAGGAAAACUUAUCCGUGACACCUGGGUACCUGUAACAAGAAGCUCCUGUUUCAAAUUCAACCGCUCCUGCCCUCAGCUGUAGCUCCCGGAUUAAAUUUCUAAUGCCGUCUUCACGCGAGAGUUGACCGCGGGAGAGCAGCUACCACGGGCUCAGCACGCACUUCCUCCGUCCACCCGGCCCUCGGAAGACGGGAACACUUCGGUUUAGGGAGAAGGUAGUUUUCUAAAAACAGCUUCUUUCGCUUGGACUAGCCCUGAGAAGGCCCAGGCUCAUGUUGGACGUGGGGCGUGCAGUGGAGCCCAGGCCAGGGCUCCGCAGAGCAGAGCGGGGGCCGGCCGGGCCCUUCCCUGCUCGCGCCCCGCGGUCACAGGACAGCACGGCCCGAGGCCCGAGCUGGUGGCAGUGCUCAAAAGGGGACGAGGUGGAAGCCUGGGAAGGGGUACAUCUGCCGUCAACUUCACCGAAACUUUUUCUCGGGCUGGACCUGCGUUGUCCCAUACGGCAGCCGCAAGCCACCUGUGACCCGGAAUGCGGCUGGUCUGAAUCCGGAUGGCCUGCGUGAGAUACACGCAGAUCUCCCGACUUAGCACAAGAAAAAUCAAUUCCACGUGGUGGCAAUCAGGCCCAUUUCACAAAUGAAGAAACAGAGACUCAGAGUGAUAGAGGAACUUGCUCAGCAUCCUGUGGAGCCAGGCUCUGAAGCCAAGAAGUCGAUAUUGCAGCCUCUACGCUCCUUAGUGUUGCAGGAAGAGCAAAGAUGGACCAAGGCUGUGAGCUCCUGGAAUAUGACAGAUGUGUCCUGGACCAUUCCCAUCCUCGUGACCCUACUCUCCAGUGAUGGUUUUGAAAGUACUGUGAUGAUGAUGGUGAGACAGAGGGAUCCAGGUGAAUGCAGGGCUUCCCCUCCCUGCUUCCUGUUUUCAGUAGCUAUUAGAAUAGGACCAUCUGCAGGUGGAAUGUUUGAGGACAGUGAGAUACAAGACCUUUCAGCUCGCACCAGAGCGCUGACCAGUCCUUCUGGCCACAGACGCUAAAUCGUGCAUAGAUUUGUACCACCCUCCUCCAGCUGGAUGGACCUGUCCCAUAUGACCCCAUGGUUGAGACGAAGGAAACGGAGAAUCUCCUUUACCUUCCAGAUGUGCACACACCUAAGUAAAG